GUGCUCACUUUAGCACAUAUACUAAAAUUGGAACGAAUCAGAGAAGAAUCACAUGGGCUCUGCACAAGGAUGACACACAAAUUCAUAAAGCACUCCAUAUUAAA